AAUGCAAGUGACGAUAAAACAGACAGGGACAUCAGAAUUCUAUGAAGAGUAUGAUGAUUUGUCGAUGGGAAUCUCUCUGAUGCAUU
rnacentral:snoRNA from 1 species